rnacentral:rRNA from 1 species
AUUGAACGCUGGCGGCAUGCCUUACACAUGCAAGUCGAACGGCAGCGGGGGAGAAGCUUGCUUUUCCUGCCGGCGAGUGGCGAACGGGUGAGUAAUACAUCGGAACGUGCCCUGUAGUGGGGACAACUAGGCGAAAGAUUAGCUAAUACCGCAUACGACCUGGGGGUGAAAGUGGGGGACCGCAAGGCCUCAUGCUAUAGGAGCGGCCGAUGUCUGGUUAGCUAGUUGGUGGGGUAAAGGCCUACCAAGGCGAGGGACAGUAGCUGGUCUGAGAGGACGAUCAGCCACACUGGGACUGAGACACGGCCCAGACUCCUACGGGAGGCAGCAGUGGGGAAUUUUGGACAAUGGGCGAAAGCCUGAUCCAGCAAUGCCGCGUGUGUGAAGAAGGCCUUCGGGUUGUAAAGCACUUUUGUCCGGAAAGAAAUGGCUCUGGUUAAUACCUGGGGUCGAUGACGGUACCGGAAGAAUAAGGACCGGCUAACUACGUGCCAGCCGCCGCCGUAA